GGCAUUUGUGUUUGGCCCCAAUCAAACCCUAGAACCACAACCUCUACCCAAUCGAUUUGUGCAUUUUUUUCAUCCCCAAACUAAUUCCCAUCUGCUGCUCCAAUCUAUUUGUGCAGUCGUUCCAUCCACCGCUCCAAUCGAUUUAUGGUUUCGAGUUCUCAGCUGCUAUCAUCUUCUUCAUCCAAAUGGGCGGUAGAAAAACAUCAUCAAAUGGUUUGAAUCUACCCAUAUGUGGAUGUGAUCAAGCAAUAAAGAUGUGGAAGUCAAACACAGUCAAAAACCUUAACAGAAAAUUCUGGAGAUGUCGAAAUGUUGGGAUGAUGAACUUGGAUUCAAUCAGUUUCAUGGUGGGAAUAGACCUCAAAAAACUGCACCAAAUUGCAAUAAUUGUGAAGUGAUAAUGGCUUAUUUGAGUGAAUUUGGGAAGGACAUAGGCAAGGAAUUUGGGAAGGAGUUUAGAAAGGAAUAUGGUGUCCAACUCAAAUCGAGGAAGCUUGAAAAGAUAAAGAAGAAGCUUCAAAUGAAGAAGAACAAAAGUCAAUGUUUAACCUUUGCACUUAUGGUGCCUUGGAUUAUGUUUUCCAUUGUUUACAAAUCCAUGUAAUAUGUAUUUUAUAAGUUAUGGUCAAAUUAGGCAUUUUGAAGUUAUGUACUUUAUGUUUUUCAUUCUGAAGUUCAUGUAAUAUGGAUAAAUAGAAAUGACAGUGUAUGAAUUCCUAUUUAUUAAUGAAAAUUUUGGUAUUUGUUAUUU